AGCAGCCGCGGUAAUUCCAGCUCCAAUAGCGUAUAUUAAAGUUGUUGCAGUUAAAAAGCUCGUAGUUGAAUUUCGGGAUUGACGUGAUGGUCGUGCCUUACGGGGUAUGAACUGUUGCAGUAAAUUUCUCACCUUCUGGAGAAAUAUGAUGUCCUUAAUUGGGUGUCAUGUGGAACCAGAACUUUUACCUUGAAAAAUUAGAGUGUUUAAAGCAGGCUUAUUGCUCGAAUACAUUAGCAUGGAAUAAUAAAAUAGGACGGCAUGGUUCUAUUUUGUUGGUUUCUAGGAUCACCGUAAUGAUUAAUAGGGAUAGUUGGGGGCAUUAGUAUUCAAUUGUCAGAGGUGAAAUUCUUGGAUUUAUUGAAGACUAACUACUGCGAAAGCAUUUGCCAAGGAUGUUUUCAUUAAUCAAGAACGAAAGUUAGGGGAUCGAAGACGAUCAGAUACCGUCGUAGUCUUAACCAUAAACUAUGCCGACUAGGAAUCAGACGAUGUUAAUUUUUU
rnacentral:rRNA from 1 species